UACGGAGGGUGCAAGCGUUAUCCGGAUUCACUGGGUUUAAAGGGUGCGUAGGCGGGUUGGUAAGUCAGUGGUGAAAUCUCCGAGCUUAACUUGGAAACUGCCAUUGAUACUAUCAGUCUUGAAUAUUGUGGAGGUCAGCGGAAUAUGUCAUGUAGCGGUGAAAUGCUUAGAUAUGACAUAGAACACCGAUAGCGAAGGCAGCUUGCUACACAAUCAUUGACACUGAGGCACGAAAGCGUGGGGAGCAAACAGG
rnacentral:rRNA from 1 species